rnacentral:rRNA from 1 species
AUACGGAGGGUGCAAGCAUUAAUCGGAAUUAUUGGGCGUAAAGGGCGCGUAGGCGGAACUGUAAGUCAGAUGUGAAAUACCGAAGCUUAACUUCGGUGCUGCAUUUGAAACUACAGAUCUGGAGGAUAGACGGAGAAAACGGAAUUCCACAUGUAGCGGUGAAAUGCGUGGAUAUGUGGAAGAACACCUGUGGCGAAAGCGGUUUUCUAGUUUAUUCCUGACGCUGAGGCGCGAGAGCAAGGGGAGCAAACAGCAUUAGAAACCCCAGUAGUCC